GGGAGCCAGGAAGGAAAAAGAACAAUCGUGAACUCUUGGUCUCUGCCAGGCUAGCAAGAAAUGUGAGGAGCCGUGUUCUGUGGCUCCACACUCAAGUCAGACCCAGCAGGCUUUGAAGGUGAGCAUAAAAGGACUGCAUAAGGAUUCUAAUAUUUAAGCCCAGCUGGAGAAUGUUACAGACCCUGUAGAGCUCCUUCAAGAUGUGACAGGAUUCCUCGUAUUUCCGGCUGUAAAUGCAACCUUUUCAACCUCAAAUAUCCUGCAAUCCUUCAAGUAUUAAGAAAGUUUCAACCUUGGUCUUUUAGUAUGUUUUACUUAACACACCUCCUCAUGUCAUCAGAAGACCUCCCCAAAUCCCGUUACACUGCUCCACUUCUGACCGGAAAGAGCAGAAUCUGAGCUGUGCCUGGGUUAGGCUCAGAGCCAAAUUCCUAAGUCUAUUAAGAACCACCCUAAAAUGACCAAUCACAAGAGAGUCCCAGAGAUCAAAAACCUCAAGAAAUAGAACGGAUCUUCAGCUGUCUUAAGGCAAAAACAUCCUCAAACCCCAUCUUCUCCUGUGGAUCUUAGAACAGACGAAGCAAGCUUCCUCCCCCACCUGGUGGCAACUCCAACAACCAAAACUCUGGGAGGUCCCAGACUCAACCCAAUUCCUGAGCCUAUGAGAAUGGAGACAACAAGGACAUCAGCAUCCUUGCGUCCACCCGCAUCUAAUGGAAUCAGGAACUAAGUCAAUGGAAUAGAGCCAAGAAACCUAGUAAGUCUGUACAAUAUUCCUCGUAGUUCAUCUCCCAUCUCCCAUCAUGUUGGAGUCUCCAAAGGGUAAGGUUUGUGCGUUGGUUUCCCCAUUUAGCACUUGAGUUACUCUCAAGCACUAGAGCCAUGCCCAUCAUAGCCUGAGGCCUGAGAGCAUGCAUAGUUGUGAGCAGCCUUCUCCUCUGAUUCAUUCUAGCCACAGACAAAUUACCUGGCACUAAGCAACUGCCAUCUGGCUGGUUUUGAUCUAUGCUGGUUAUUCUCUGUGUGCUCCCUCACUUCCAACCAUCCUCCACCCUUGUAUGUCUUGCUCUGUGCCCCAGGAUGCUGACUUCACGGAUUCUCUCAUUGCUGUCUCCAGAUUGGGUUUGACCAAUGGGAGGAACCAGGAGGAGAUGGAACAGAAGGAGAACAAGAGGAUCACUUCUUAGUUGAUGCAAUUUGGGCAGAGCCUACUUCAUGGUCCUAGUACUCAAGGAGAACAUUUGACCAGGACUCAACGAAGAGAAGACUCCAUCAUCCUGGCCACAGUGAUUGAUUCAGGGCUACACAUGUGGCCCAUGUCUGAGAACUUCUUCAGGAACUACUGGGAAAAGAUGUUUCCUUUCUACCGGGUUUGCUAAGCUGGUACAAUGUAAAUCUGGAUCUGCUGGUGAACAUCUUGCAGGGGAAAGAUCCUGUGUGAGAACGGUGCCCUUAACGAAUGAAGCACUGUCAAAAGUGAGAGAUAGAUAUGAAUAUAUUGCUUGACACCUGAAUACAGUCAUGCCUAAAGUCAUUCUCACAUUUUAAUCAUGAGACCCAAUACAUUUCAUUUCUUGCUUAAGAUGGUUUUAUCUAGGUUUCUAUUUUGAAAAUAAAAGUUCUGAUAAAUAUGCUACCCAACAACAAAAAGGAAAUAAAAGGUGUCAAGUGUCUCAAAUGAUUCAUGCAUUGAUUUAUUUUAAAAGCAUAUAUUGCCCAGGUGUGCUGGCAAUGCACCUGUAGUCCCAGCUAUUCAGGAGUCUGAAACAGGAGGAUCACUUAAGCCCAGGAGUUCAAGUACAGCCUGAGCAACAUAGGAAGACCCUCUCUUUUUUUUUUUUUUUUAAGAAAAAAGCAUAUAUUAAAUACCUAACCUAUACCAUGCUCUAUGUUUGGUAAGGGACACAGAGACAAAUAAGGCACAAUCCUUGCCUUAAAGGUUUACAGUCUAAUUUCCAGUUUGGCAAUCAAAUCAUUGGCACUCGAGAGUUUCAAGAAUUCAAAGGACAGUGGGGAUUCUUGAGCUUAUUUUUAUUAAGAAAUUAAACAGC
rnacentral:lncRNA from 10 species